rnacentral:rRNA from 1 species
AUUGAACGCUGGCGGCAGGCCUAACACAUGCAAGUCGAGCGAGCGGCGGACGGGUGAGUAAUGUCUGGGAAACUGCCUGAUGGAGGGGGAUAACUACUGGAAACGGUAGCUAAUACCGCAUACCAUCAGAUGUGCCCAGAUGGGAUUAGCUAGUAGGUGGGGUAAUGGCUCACCUAGGCGACGAUCCCUAGCUGGUCUGAGAGGAUGACCAGCCACACUGGAACUGAGACACGGUCCAGACUCCUACGGGAGGCAGCAGUGGGGAAUAUUGCACAAUGGGCGCAAGCCUGAUGCAGCCAUGCCGCGUGUAUGAAGAAGGCCUUAGGGUUGUAAAGUACUUUCAGCGGGGAGGCGUUACCCGCAGAAGAAGCACCGGCUAACUCCGUGCCAGCAGCCGCGGUAAUUC